CCCGAAAGGGUAGGGUGCCCGCAAGGGAGCGUGGAGACAGGUGGUGCAUGGCUGUCGUCAGCUCGUGUCGUGAGAUGUUGGGUUAAGUCCCGCAACGAGCGCAACCCUCACCCUUUGUUGCCACCAGGUUAUGCUGGGCACUCUAAGGGAACUGCCUCGGUUAACGAGGAGGAAGGUGGGGAUGACGUCAAGUCAUCAUGCCCCUUACGCUCUGGGCUACACACGUGCUACAAUGGCCAAUACAAAGGGCUGCAAACCCGCGAGGGCAAGCCAAUCCCAAAAAAUUGGUCUCAGUUCAGAUUGUAGGCUGUAACCCGCCUGCAUGAAGGAGGAAUCGCUAGUAAUCGUGGAUCAGCAUGCCACGGUGAAUACGUUCCCGGGCCUUGUACACACCGCCCGUCACACCACGAAAGUCUG
rnacentral:rRNA from 1 species